AGAGUUUGAUCAUGGCUCAGGACGAACGCUGGCGGCGUGCUUAACACAUGCAAGUCGAGCGGGGUUUAUCGGAUUAGCUUGCUAAACUGAUAAACCUAGCGGCGGACGGGUGAGUAACGCGUGAGCAAUCUGCCUUAUACAGGGGGAUAACAGGUGGAAACACCUGCUAAUACCGCAUAAGACUCCACUACCGCAUGGUAGAGAAGUCAAAGGGAUUACCGGUAUGAGAUGAGCUCGCGUCCCAUUAGCUAGUUGGUAGGGUAAAGGCCUACCAAGGCGACGAUGGGUAGCCGACCUGAGAGGGUGAUCGGCCACACUGGGACUGAGACACGGCCCAGACUCCUACGGGAGGCAGCAGUGGGGAAUAUUGCACAAUGGAGGGAACUCUGAUGCAGCAACGCCGCGUGAGUGAAGAAGGUUUUCGGAUCGUAAAACUCUGUCAUUGGGGAAGAAUAAAUGACGGUACCCAAUGAGGAAGCCCCGGCUAACUACGUGCCAGCAGCCGCGGUAAUACGUAGGGGGCGAGCGUUGUCCGGAAUUACUGGGCGUAAAGGGUACGUAGGCGGCUAUAUAAGUCAGGUGUGAAAUACCAGUGCUUAACACUGGAAUUGCAUUUGAAACUGUGUAGCUUGAGUGCAGGAAAGGAAAGUGGAAUUCCUAGUGUAGCGGUGAAAUGCGUAGAGAUUAGGAGGAACACCAGUGGCGAAGGCGACUUUCUGGACUGUAACUGACGCUGAGGUACGAAAGCGUGGGUAGCGAACAGGAUUAGAUACCCUGGUAGUCCACGCCGUAAACGAUGGAUACUAGGUGUAGGGGGUAUCGACCCCCCCUGUGCCGGAGUUAACGCAAUAAGUAUCCCGCCUGGGGAGUACGGUCGCAAGACUGAAACUCAAAUGAAUUGACGG
rnacentral:rRNA from 1 species